GAGGGUAUAGCUCAAGUGGUAGGGUAUAUGCUUAGCAUACACAAGGUCCUGGGUUCAAUCCCCAGUACCUCCU
rfam:Camelus ferus unplaced genomic scaffold scaffold739, whole genome shotgun sequence.